AUGCGGAGACAACCUCCGAAGGUCACUCGGGGUCAUCCGGCAUGCGUGCGCGGUGCAAAAGUAAUGCGGGUGAGGAGCUUACAUUGCUUUGGCGCAGAUGAAGCCGAGGUGGUCGAUGACAGUCGGCUGCUGGCUUGCAGCCAGGGCUGCUGGCUUGCAGCCAGCGCGCCCCGCCAACUGGGUGUAGCCUCCAGGCAGUCGAACGGUGCAUCGGCCGACCGGACCCGACCGGCCGGGUGUCGAAGAGGACGCUCAGCUGGGAUGGCUCCCCAGCCGACUCGGCAUAGCCGGCCAGCCGGCAAAGCGGGAGGCGGUGACGCAGGCAAACGAACACGGUCGUUACUUGUGUUCUUUCUUUUCCAGCAGGCGGCAUCGUUUUUUUAG
rnacentral:rRNA from 1 species